GACGAACGCUGGCGGCGUGCUUAACACAUGCAAGUCGAACGGAAAGGCCCUGCUUUUGUGGGGUGCUCGAGUGGCGAACGGGUGAGUAACACGUGAGUAACCUGCCCUUGACUUUGGGAUAACUUCAGGAAACUGGGGCUAAUACCGGAUAGGAGCUCCUGCUGCAUGGUGGGGGUUGGAAAGUUUCGGCGGUUGGGGAUGGACUCGCGGCUUAUCAGCUUGUUGGUGGGGUAGUGGCUUACCAAGGCUUUGACGGGUAGCCGGCCUGAGUGGGUGACCGGCCACAUUGGGACUGAGAUACGGCCCAGACUCCUACGGGAGGCAGCAGUGGGGAAUAUUGCACAAUGGGCAGAAGCCUGAUGCAGCAACGCCGCGUGCGGGAUGACGGCCUUCGGGUUGUAAACCGCUUUCGCCUGUGACGAAGCGUGAGUGACGGUAAUGGGUAAAGAAGCACCGGCUAACUACGU
rnacentral:rRNA from 1 species